UACGUAGGGAGCAAGCGUUGUCCGGAAUCAUUGGGCGUAAAGCGCACGUAGGCGGUCUGUUAUGUCGGAUGUGAAAGCCCUUGGCUCAACUGAGGAAGUGCAUCCGAAACUGGCAGGCUAGAGUACUAAAGAGGAUCGCGGAAUUCCCGGUGUAGAGGUGAAAUUCGUAGAUAUCGGGAGGAACACCGGUGGCGAAGGCGGCGAUCUGGGUAGAUACUGACGCUGAGGUGCGAAAGCGUGGGGAGCAAACAGG
rnacentral:rRNA from 1 species